CCUACGGGAGGCAGCAGUGAGGAAUAUUGGUCAAUGGGCGCUAGCCUGAACCAGCCAAGUAGCGUGAAGGAUGAAGGCUCUACGGGUUGUAAACUUCUUUUAUAUAAGAAUAAAGUGAGGCACGUGUGCCGUUUUGUAUGUACUUUAUGAAUAAGGAUCGGCUAACUCCGUGCCAGCAGCCGCGGUAAUACGGAGGAUCCGAGCGUUAUCCGGAUUUAUUGGGUUUAAAGGGAGCGUAGAUGGGCUGUUAAGUCAGUUGUGAAAGUUUGCGGCUCAACCGUAAAAUUGCAGUUGAUACUGGCAGUCUUGAGUACAGUUGAGGUAGGCGGAAUUCGUGGUGUAGCGGUGAAAUGCUUAGAUAUCACGAAGAACUGCGAUUGCGAAGGCAGCUUACUAAACUGCCACUGACAUUGAUGCUCGAAAGUGUGGGUAUCAAACAGGAUUAGAUACCCUUGUAGUC
rnacentral:rRNA from 1 species